GCGAUUGUAAAAUCCGGCUCGCUGAGCUCAAUUCCUACCGGUAGCAGUUACUGGUAGGUAAGGGAUUGUGAAAACCCAGCGACUGUAAAAUCCGGCUCGCUGAGCUCAAUUCCUACCCGUAGCAGUUACUGGUAGGUAAGGGAUUGUGAAAACCCAGCGACUGUAAAAUCCGGCUCGCUGAGCUCAAUUCCCACCUGUAGCAGUUACUCGUAGGUAAGGGAUUGUGAAAACCCAGCGACUGUAAAAUCCGGCUCGCUGAGCUCAAUUCCCACCUGUAGCAGUUACUGGUAGGUAAGGGAUUGUGAAAACCCAGCGACUGUAAAAUCCGGCUCGCUGAGCUCAAUUCCUACCCGUAGCAGUUACUCGUAGGUAAGGGAUUGUGAAAACCCAGCGACUGUAAAAUCCGGCUCGCUGAGCUCAAUUCCUACCCGUAGCAGUUACUCGUAGGUAAGGGAUUGUGAAAACCCAGCGACUGUAAA